UACGGAGGGGGCUAGCGUUAUUCGGAAUUACUGGGCGUAAAGCGCACGUAGGCGGACUGGAAAGUCAGAGGUGAAAGCCCGGGGCUCAACCCCGGAACUGCCUUUGAAACUCCCAGUCUUGAGGUCGAGAGAGGUGAGUGGAAUUCCGAGUGUAGAGGUGAAAUUCGUAGAUAUUCGGAGGAACACCAGUGGCGAAGGCGGCUCACUGGCUCGAUACUGACGCUGAGGUGCGAAAGCGUGGGGAGCAAACAGG
rnacentral:rRNA from 1 species